rnacentral:tRNA from 1 species
AGGAUUCUAGCACUAAACUAUUCUUUG